GCCAGCAUGGUGUAGUGGUUUGAGUGCUGGACUAUAAUUCUGGCAACCAGUGUUCAAAUCCCUGCUCAGCCA